rnacentral:rRNA from 1 species
CCCUUAGAUGUUCUGGGCCGCACGCGCGCUACACUGUUCGACGCCGCGAGUCUUAACCUUGACCGAAAGGUUUGGGUAAUCUUCAGCAAAGUCGAACGUGAUGGGGAUCGAUCAUUGCAAUUAUUGAUCGUGAACGAGGAAUUCCUAGUAAGUGCAAGUCAUCAGCUUGCGCUGAUUACGUCCCUGCCCUUUGUACACACCGCCCGUCGCUACUACCGAUUGAAUGGUUUAGUGAGAUCUCUGGAUUGACGCUGGCUAGGGGGCGACCCUUGGCCAGACUGUUGAGAAACUGCUCAAACUUGAUCAUUUAGAGGAAGUAAAAGUCGUAACA